GUCCACGCCGUAAACGAUGUCUACUAGCCGUUGGGAGCCUUGAGCUCUUAGUGGCGCAGCUAACGCACUAAGUAGACCGCCUGGGAGUACGGUCGCAAGAUUAAACUCAAAUGAAUUGACGGGGCCCGCACAAGCGGUGGAGCAUGUGGUUUAAUUCGACGCAACGCGAAGAACCCUACCAGGUCUUGACAUCCAGAGAACUUUUCCAGAGAUGGAUUGGUGCCUUCGGGAGCUCUGAGACAGGUGCUGCAUGGCUGUCGU
rnacentral:rRNA from 1 species